GCAUAUUAUGCAAACAAAACUUCCCAGUGGGAUUUGCAACCCAUUCCUCCAUUUGCUAGGCACUCUGGAGAAUGUGAAGAAUAUCUGUAAGACGCGGAUGAAGAGGCUGGACAGCUCCGCCUGCCUGCAUGCUGUGGGCAACAAGGCCGUGGAGUUCUUCUUUGCUUCUGAUGCAAGUGCUAUCAUAGAGCACACCAACCGGGUCAUCUUCCUGGAGGACGAUGACAUCGCCGCAGUGGCUGAUGGGAAACUCUCCAUUCACCGGGUCAAGCGCUCGGCUAGUGAUGACCCAUCUCGAGCCAUCCAGACCUUGCAGAUGGAGCUGCAGCAAAUCAUGAAAGGCAGGUGUCCUCUAGCGUCCAUGUGGGCAGCCUCGGGAGCCAGCGCACCUGGUGGAGCUCCUGACAGUCCUCUAGCGUCCAUGUGGGCAGCCUUGGGAGCCAGCGCGCCUGGUGGAGCUCCUGACACUCUCUGCCUGGCCCUAGUAGAGGCCACAGCCCUCCUGCCCUCUGUGGCCACCAGGGCGGGGCUGCAGGUAGCCUGUGGCUUGCGCAGGUGACGGGAUGUGGGGAGGCU
rnacentral:sRNA from 1 species